AUGGCUCAGGAUGAACGCUAGCUACAGGCCUAACACGAUGCAAGUCGAGGGGUAGCGUGAGGGAAGCUUGCUUCCCUGACGACGACCGGCGAAUGGGUGAGUCACGCGUGUCCAACCUGCCCCGUGCCCGGGGAUAGCCCUUGGAAAUGAGGAUUAAGACCCGAUAUGUGGCGCUUCCGCAUGGCGGCGCCAUGAAGCAGGCACGGGAUGGGACGCGUCGGAUUAACUUGACGGCGGGGCAACGGCCCACCGUGGCGACGAUCCGCAGGGGUUCUGAGAGGAAGGUCCCCCACACUGGCACUGAGACACGGGCCAGACUCCUACGGGAGGCAGCAGUGAGGAAUAUUGGUCAAUGGGCGGGAGCCUGAACCAGCCCAAGUAGCGUGCAGGACGACGGCCCUACGGGUUGUAAACUGCUUUUCCGGGAGGAUAAAGUGAGCCACGCGUGGUUCAUUGCAGGUAUCCCGGGAAUAAGGACCGGCUAAUUCCGUGCCAGCCGCCGC
rnacentral:rRNA from 1 species